rnacentral:rRNA from 1 species
UGGGGAAUAUUGCACAAUGGGCGGAAGCCUGAUGCAGCGACGCCGCGUGGGGGAUGACGGCCUUCGGGUUGUAAACCUCUUUCAGUGCAGAACAAGGCUCUUUGUGGGAUGAGGGUAUGCGCAGAAGAAGCGCCAGCUAACUACGUGCCAACAGCCGCGGUAAUACGUAGGGCGCGAGCGUUGUCCGGAUUCAUUGGGCGUAAAGAGCUCGUAGGCGGUUUGUCGCGUCAGCUGUGAAAUCCUUUGGCGUGACUGGGGGCGUGCAGUAGGUACGGGCAUGCUGGAGUGCGGUAGGGGGGACUGGAAUGCCUGGUGUAGCGGUGGAAUGCGCAUAUAUCAGGGUGAACACCGGUGGCGAAGGCAGGUCUCUGGUCCGUUACUGACGCUGGUGAGCGAAAGCAUGGGGAGCG